GGUCAUGAGCGUCAGCGUGGAGCCCCGGCUUGCUGACCGGCAACCCUCCGCCGCGGUGGGGUGCCCCGGGUGAUGACCAGGUUUCUCGGCGGUCAGCCCCGUCGGGCGGCAAACGCGAGAA
rnacentral:ncRNA from 2 species